rnacentral:rRNA from 1 species
UGCAGAGGUCCCAAGCGUUGUUCGGAUUCACUGGGCGUAAAGGGUGCGUAGGUGGUUGCGCAAGUCUGAUGUGAAAUCUCCGGGCUCAACCCGGAAAUGGCAUUGGAAACUGCGUGGCUAGAGGGUUGGAGGGGGGACUGGAAUACUUGGUGUAGCAGUGAAAUGCGUAGAUAUCAAGUGGAACACCAGUGGCGAAGGCGAGUCCCUGGACAACACCUGACACUGAGGCACGAAAGCUAGGGGAGCAAACAGG